rnacentral:rRNA from 2 species
CCUGAAGCUCGAGUCUGACGGAGCACGCCGCGUGAGUGAUGAAGGCUUUCGGGUCGUAAAACUCUGUUGUUAGGGAAGAACAAGUACAAGAGUAACUGCUUGUACCUUGACGGUACCUAACCAGAAAGCCACGGCUAACUACGUGCCAGCAGCCGCGGUAAUACGUAGGUGGCAAGCGUUAUCCGGAAUUAUUGGGCGUAAAGCGCGCGCAGGCGGUUUCUUAAGUCUGAUGUGAAAGCCCACGGCUCAACCGUGGAGGGUCAUUGGAAACUGGGGAACUUGAGUGCAGAAGAGAAAAGCGGAAUUCCACGUGUAGCGGUGAAAUGCGUAGAGAUGUGGAGGAACACCAGUGGCGAAGGCGGCUUUUUGGUCUGUAACUGACGCUGAGGCGCGAAAGCGUGGGGAGCAAACAGGAUUAGAUACCCUGGUAGUCCACGCCGUAAACGAUGAGUGCUAAGUGUUAGAGGGUUUCCGCCCUUUAGUGCUGCAGCUAACGCAUUAAGCACUCGCCC